rnacentral:rRNA from 1 species
GACGAACGCUGGCGGCGUGCUUAACACAUGCAAGUCGAACGGAAAGGCCCUGCUUUUGUGGGGUGCUCGAGUGGCGAACGGGUGAGUAACACGUGAGUAACCUGCCCUUGACUUUGGGAUAACUUCAGGAAACUGGGGCUAAUACCGGAUAGGAGCUCCUGCUGCAUGGUGGGGGUUGGAAAGUUUCGGCGGUUGGGGAUGGACUCGCGGCUUAUCAGCUUGUUGGUGGGGUAGUGGCUUACCAAGGCUUUGACGGGUAGCCGGCCUGAGAGGGUGACCGGCCACAUUGGGACUACGAUACGGCCCAGACUCCUACGGGAGGCAGCAGUGGGGAGUAUUGCACAAUGGGCGGAAGCCUGAUGCAGAAGCGCCGCGUGCGGGAUGACGGCCUUCGGGUUGUGAACCGCUUUCGCCUGUGACGAAGCGUGAGUGACGGUAAUGGGUAAAGAAGCACCGGCUAACUACGUG